rnacentral:rRNA from 1 species
UACCAGCUCUCCGAGUUGUAGGGAUGAUUAUUGGGCUUAAAGCGUCCGUAGCUGGCUUAGCAAGUCUCCUGUUAAAUUCAGCGACCUAAUCGUUGAGCCGCGGGAGAUACUAUUAGGCUAGGAGGCGGGAGAGGUCGACGGUACUUUCGGGGUAGGGGUGAAAUCCUAUAAUCCCGGGAGGACCACCAGUGGCGAAGGCUGUCGACUAGAACGCGCUCGACGGUGAGGGACGAAAGCUGGGGGAGCGAACCGGAUUAGAUACCCGGGUAGUCCCAGCUGUAAACUAUGCGGGCUAGGUGUUGGGGUGGCUACGGGCCACUUCAGUGCCGCAGGAAAGCCAUUAAGCCCGCCGCCUGGGGAGUACGGCCGCAAGGCUGAAACUUAAAGGAAUUGGCGGGGGAGCACCACAAGGCGUGAAGCUUGCGGUUC